rnacentral:rRNA from 1 species
GAGUUUGAUCGUGGCUCAGGACGAACGCUGGCGGCGUGCCUAAUACAUGCAAGUCGAGCGGAUCUUCAUUAGCUUGCUUUUGAAGAUCAGCGGCGGACGGGUGAGUAACACGUGGGCAACCUGCCUGUAAGACUGGGAUAACUUCGGGAAACCGGAGCUAAUACCGGAUAAUCCUUUUCCUCUCAUGAGGAAAAGCUGAAAGACGGUUUCGGCUGUCACUUACAGAUGGGCCCGCGGCGCAUUAGCUAGUUGGUGAGGUAACGGCUCACCAAGGCGACGAUGCGUAGCCGACCUGAGAGGGUGAUCGGCCACACUGGGACUGAGACACGGCCCUGACUCCUACGGGAGGCAGCAGUAGGGAAUCUUCCGCAAUGGACGAAAGUCUGACGGAGCAACGCCGCGUGAGCGAUGAAGGCCUCGGUCGUAAGACGUCUGUU